rnacentral:rRNA from 1 species
GGACCCCACUGCUAUCGGGAUAGGACUAAGACAUGCUAGUCAAGCGCUCUUUAGCUAUGAAUAGAGUGCGGCGCACAGCUCAGUAACACGUGGCUAACCUGCCCUAGGGACAGAGACAACCCCGGGAAACUGGGGCUAAUCCCUGAUAGGUGAAGAACUCUGGAAUGAGUCUCCGCCCAAAAGACGCUUACAUCAUGCUGUAGGCGUCGCCUUAGGAUGGGGCCGCGACCGAUCAGGUUGUUGGUGAGGUAACGGCUCACCAAGCCAUUUACCGGUACGGGCCGUGAGAGCGGGAGCCCGGAGAUGGGCACUGAGACAAGGGCCCAGGCCCUACGGGGCGCAGCAGUCGCGCAAACUUUGCAAUA